GGGGGAAUCCCCCUCCCCCCCCAAACUGGAUCUUUCAGGGGCUGAGGGCUCUUUCUGUCAGUUGGAGAUCUGAGUGGAGGGGCUCUGCCCCGGUCCACUGUCUAGGUGCACGGAAGUUGAGGGGCGAGGUCUUCUACUCUCCAGCAAACUGGAACCAAUUCCUGGCGGUUCCCUGGAGGGUCCUGGCUUGUGCGUAUCAGGACGCCUCUCCGCGGUGCUCCCAGAGUGCAGAAGAGAGCAUUAGACUCCCUGGAGCUGGAGUUUCAGAUGCUGUGAGCCUCCUUGGAUGCUGUGAAGUAAAUGCAGGUCCUUUGGAAAAACAGUACUUCCUUCUAACCACACAGCCAUCUCUCCAGGCCCUGCAACUCUUCAUAUGUAAUUAACAUAUCACAGAUACAUUUUACAAGCCUUUUCCUUUUCUUCUUUUUGAAAAGAAUUUUCCUAUAGCCUACACUGACCUUGAACUUAAUUAUAUAGUACAGGAUGACUUUGAACUCCUGAUCAAAUGGUCACUUUUAAAGACAAUGUAUCCCAUGGAAUAUGAUAAAAGUUUGUAUACGCAAGCAUCAGCUUCAAAACAUAAUAACUAAAUUGAUCACUGCUUUUGUGAUUGUUUUCCUAUGCAGUCUCCUCAUCAGAAAUAGAGGGAUAAUAAUACAUAUUUCAUAGUUUUCAGAAGGCUUGCAUGACUUCAUCUAUGUAAUGCCCUUAGAUUAGAGGAGUGGGCUAGAGAGAAAAGGGGCUUAAAAGACUCAACAGUCAAUUGAAUUACUAUGGAUCAAGAGAUAUGUCCAUAAAAUACGGGAUACAAACCUUUAAGGGGAAUCCUGAUUGGAAUAGGGCAAUUGGGAAAAAAUACUAUAAGGCAAAUGGCAAAGUUUCAAUAUUCACUUGGUAGUACCAAGAAUUCAAAUUUCUUCUGAGUCUCACUAUGUAGCCCUGACUGGCAUUAAACCCACAGGCCUGCCUCUGCCUCCCAAAUGCAGUCAGUAGAGAGAUGUGUUCCAUCACAUGCUGCUUAGAAUCAAGAUUUCUUACAUUUUUAGAUAUGAAAGGGAGCCAAGCAUAGUAACAUAUACUUGUAACCCCAGCACUCAGGAGGUAAAGACAAGAGGACCCGUAGUUUAAGAUUAUUCUCAGCUGUGUAGGUAGUAAAUUAAAAACCAGCCUGUCUCAAAAAAAAACAAAAACAAAAACAAAAACCUAGAUAAAUAAUUAUUCAUGGGGCUGAAGAGAUGACUCAGCGAUUUAAGAGCACAUGCCUUCCUAGAGGACCUGAGCUCCAGUCCCAGUGCCCAUGUUGGACAACCAGGGGAUGUGGCACUUCUGAACACCUGCACUCACACGCACAAACACAUACACGUAAUUUAAAAUAAAAUAGGUCUUAUAAACAAUGGGGGGGGGGGCAUCUUCUUGGAGACAAGUGGGAGGAGGAAUGGGAUGGAAAAAAGAAAAAGAGAAGAGGAAGAAGAAGAGGGGGAAGCAGGGGAGUUGGAACAAAGGAAGGAAAUAAUAAACAAUGGGCCAGGUAGUGGUGGUGUCUAAGUCUUUAAUCCCAGCACUCAGGAGGCAGAAGUACACACAGAUGUUAUAAGUUCGAGGCCAGUCUGGUCUACAGAGUGAGUUUCAGGACAACCAAGGCUACACAGAGAAACCCUGCCUUGAAAAACAAACAAAGGUGGAUUAAUGAAAUUCCAUUAUUUUUAAGGGAUAUUUAAAAAUGUGUAUUAGAGUGACUUAAGCAUGAAAUGUCUGAAAUUUGUCUCAAAAUAAUCAAGUGACCAGGAGGAAAGUAGAGGUGGCAAAAUAUUGGCCAAAUAUUGCUUAUUGCAACAUUUAAGCAUACAUGUUGUUCUCAGGCUAAAGAGAUAGCUAAGAUUUCAGCUCUUGCAGAGGACCCAAUUGGACACGCAAGUCCAGCCUCUACCACCACCACCUGUGACUCAAGCUCCAGGAGAUCUGGAUUCUCUCCCCUGGGUGCUGAGGGCACAUGUAGUCACAUGUGUACUAUUCCGUGUCAUGCUCACAUGCAUGUACAAGAGUGAAAAUAAAGUUAGAGCUGGAGAGAUGGCUCAGAGAUUAAGAGCACUUGCUGCUCUAACAGAGGUCCCCAUUUACAUUCGAGCCCUGCUGUCCACUGUUCACAACUGGCUGUAACUCCCAGUUGCAGGAGACUAACUCCCUCUUCUGACCUCUCCUGGCUCCUACAUGCAUGUAAUGCGGAUAUAUAUAUAUACACACAUACACGAUAGAUAUUAAUAAGAUAAAAAUAUAAGAUGUCAUUGUCAUUCUCUCUACUUUUGUGUUUGAAAUUUUACAACAGAGCUUUUAAAAAAAUUAAAAAGAAAUAGUAAAAUGUU
rnacentral:lncRNA from 1 species